rnacentral:rRNA from 1 species
CAGCAGCCGCGGUAACACCGAGGGUGCGAGCGUUAAUCGGAUUUACUGGGCGUAAAGCGUGCGUAGGCGGCUUCUUAAGUCGGAUGUGAAAUCCCUGAGCUUAACUUAGGAAUUGCAUUCGAUACUGGGAAGCUAGAGUAUGGGAGAGGAUGGUAGAAUUCCAGGUGUAGCGGUGAAAUGCGUAGAGAUCUGGAGGAAUACCGAUGGCGAAGGCAGCCAUCUGGCCUAUACUGACGCUGAGGUACGAAAGCAUGGGGAGCAAACAGGAUUAGAUACCCCGGUAGUCCCUGUCUCUUAUACA